UACGGAGGGUGCGAGCGUUGUCCGGAAUCACUGGGCGUAAGGGCGCGUAGGUGGCUCGUGAAGCGUGCGGUGAAAGUCCGAGGCUCAACCUCGGAUCGGCCGUGCGGACUCGCGGGCUCGAGCGUGUAGAGGCGGGUGGAUCCGGGUGUAGCGGUGGAAUGCGUAGAGAUCCGGAAGAACACCGGUGGCGGAAGGCGGCCCGCUGGGCAACUGCU
rnacentral:rRNA from 1 species